rnacentral:rRNA from 1 species
GACGAACGCUGGCGGCGUGCUUAACACAUGCAAGUCGAACGGAAAGGCCCUGCUUUUGUGGGGUGCUCGAGUGGCGAACGGGUGAGUAACACGUGAGUAACCUGCCCUUGACUUUGGGAUAACUUCAGGAAACUGGGGCUAAUACCGGAUAGGAGCUCCUGCUGCAUGGUGGGGGUUGGAAAGUUUCGGCGGUUGGGGAUGGACUCGCGGCUUAUCAGCUUGUUGGUGGGGUAGUGGCUUACCAAGGCUUUGACGGGUAGCCGGCCUGAGAGGGUGACCGGCGACACUGGAACGGAGACAGGGUCCAGACUCGGACGGGAGGCCGCAGUAGGGAAUAUUCAGAAAUGGGCGAAAGCCUGGUGGAGAAAAGCCGCGUGAGUGAUGAAGGUGUUCGGAGCGGAAAAGGCGGUUAUGAGGGAAGAAGAAAUGUGUAAGGAAGUAUGCACGGCUUGACGGUAACUAAUAAGAAAGAAAGGGCGAACUAAGUG